AUUGAACGCUGGCGGCAGGCCUAACACAUGCAAGUCGAGCGAGCGGCGGACGGGUGAGUAAUGUAUGGGGACUGCCCGAUAGAGGGGGAUAACUACUGGAAACGGUGGCUAAUACCGCAUACUAUCGGAUAACCCAUAUGGGAUUAGCUAGUAGGUAAGGUAAUGGCUUACCUAGGCGACGAUCCCUAGCUGGUCUGAGAGGAUGACAAGCCACACUGGUACUGAGACACGGCCCAGACUCCUAUGGAGGCAGCAGUGGGGAAGAUUGCAAAAUGGGCGCAAGCCUGAUGCAGCCAUGCCGCGUGUAGGAAGAAGGCCUUAGGGUUGUAAAGUACGUUCAGUCGGGAGGCGUUACCGACAGAAGAAGCACCGGCUAACUCCGUGCCAGCAGCCGCGGUAAUUC
rnacentral:rRNA from 1 species